CAUUGCUAAUCUAUUAGACAUACAUUCCAACAUCCUUUUGUGUUCCUGCAUUGUCAACACACCCACACAAACCCAAACACACACACACACAUACAUACUUACACACAGAGCUAUACACAUAAUGACAAGGAUAUAAAAAGGAACCCUGUACAGUUUGUCCAUGAAGGCUGGCUCUGUAUUUGAAGAGAAACUGCACAGGCCCGAGGCCACAGCUCCACUGCAGCAUAUCACCAAUGAUACGCUGAAGGAUUGAUUUUCUGCAAGGAGUAAGGAGGUGGAAAUGGAGGCACAUUAUCAGCCCUGUACAAACGUAAGCUAUUUUCUCUAAAUAUGACAGGGAUCUGGAGAACGGGAUCCAUGGACGUUUCUAUGAGGACCAGAUGUUUGAGAUAUGAUUGGUGACCCUCAGCAAACAUCCCAGAGCAAGUUGAACGGGUGGGGGAGACAGCACUGCCUAAGCCAUCCCAUGAUGCACUGGGAUGGAGCAGCUGGACGGGGCGGAAGGGAGAGAUGGCCGUGGAGUGAACUAUGAGCUCUCCGGGGGAAAAGGCUGAUAUCUCCCACAGAGGAGGACAGAGGAGGCAACAUUCUUUAGCAAAUGUAAUGUUUCGCCUGUGAGCAACCCUCUGAGUCUUGUGCUGUCUGGAAUUUAACAUCUUUUGUUCUGUUUUCUCCAGUUCUGUCAUGGAUCAAAGCCUCAGGAGGCUUGCUUCAUAGGUCAUCAGGGUAAAUGUACAUUUUUUAAGUGUGCACUGUUACAUUUUCCAAAACACUCUAGAGACAUAAAAUGGAUUUUAACAACAGAAUAGUAACAUUGUAGAAUUUUAAAGCAUACAAUAUACUAUGGAUACUACUGUGAUAUUAUGAAAAUAAAACCAAUUACAAAAUAAUAACAUUUCA